GAUGAACGCUGGCGGCGUGCCUAAUACAUGCAAGUCGAGCGAACAGACGAGGAGCUUGCUCCUCUGACGUUAGCGGCGGACGGGUGAGUAACACGUGGAUAACCUACCUAUAAGACUGUGAUAACUUCGGGAAACCGGAGCUAAUACCGGAUAACAUGUUGAACCGCAUGGUUCAACAGUGAAAGACGGUCUUGCUUUCACUUAUAGAUGGAUCCGCGCCGCAUUAGCUAGUUGGUAAGGUGACGGCUUACCAAGGCAACGAUGCGUAGCCGACCUGAGAGGGUGAUCGGCCACACUGGAACUGAGACAGGGUCCAGACUCCUACGGGAGGCAGCAGUAGGGAAUCUUCCGGGAUGGGCGAAAGCCUGACGGAGCAACGCCGCGUGAGUGAAGAAGGUCUUCGGAUCGUAAAACUCUGUUAUUAGGGAAGAACAAAUGUGUAAGUAACUAUGCACGUCUUGACGGUACCUAAUCAGAAAGCCACGGCUAACUACGUG
rnacentral:rRNA from 1 species